GACACGGUGGUCAAUUUGGGUGGUCCUUGCCAAUAAUCGUUUGAUAUAUAUUAGUAUCUGACGGCCUGCAAAGCCGUUUAGGCCGGUUCGACUCCGGCUCGCGCCUCCA
rnacentral:tRNA from 2 species